rnacentral:lncRNA from 1 species
CUUUUCAAAUAGCAGAACUCCCUUUUCAAAUAGCAGAACUCCCUUUUCGAAUAGCAGAACUCCCUUUUCAAAUAGCAGAACUCCCUUUUCAAAUAGCAGAACUCCCUUUUUAAAUAGCAGAACUCCAUUUUUAAGUAGCAGAACUCCCUUUUUAAAUAGCAGAACUUCCUUUUCAAAUAGCAGAACUCCCUUUUCAAAUAGCAGAACUCCCUUUUCAAAUAGCAGAACUCCCUUUUUAAAUAGCAGAACUCCCUUUUUAAAUAGCAGAGUUCCCUUUUCAAAUAGCAGAACUCCCUUUUCAAAUAGCAGAACUCCCUUUUCAAAUAGCAGAGUUCCCUUUUCAAAUAGCAGAACUCCCUUUUCAAAUAGCAGAGUUCCCUUUUCAAAUAGCAGAACUCCCUUUUUAAAUAGCAGAGUUCCCUUUUUAAAUAGCAGAGUUCCCUUUUCAAAUAGCAGAACUCCCUUUUCAAAUAGCAGAACUCCCUUUUCAAAUAGCAGAGUUCCCUUUUCAAAUAGCAGCCGAGUUCCCUUUUCAAAUAGCAGAGUUCCCUUUUCAAAUAGCAGAACUCCCUUUUCAAAUAGCAGAGUUCCCUUUUCAAAUAGCAGCCGAGUUCCCUUUUCAAAUAGCAGAGUUCCCUUUUCAAAUAGCAGAACUUGUUAGAACAGCUGGGAACAAGCAACUUGUUUGCAGACCUGUAAAGGCCCAUUUCCACUCAAGAAAAUGUUCCAUGGACACUAAAACUUUCCGAAAAUAUCAUUAUUAAAAGUUGAAAAUUUUCAACGUCAAAAUUUUUUUCCGACGGAAAGUUUGUGUCGGCCAAUCACAUUUUACAAAAUUUUCUUUCUGCGGAAAAUUUUCCUGAGUGGAAAUGGACCUGAACAACUUGUGCGAUUCUACGUGUGUAGUAGAUGGAAAUUACGAACGACCUACCGAUAGUCUUUCCUCCACUGAUCAACACAGGUGCAGUCAAUUGAAAACACGGUUCAUCACAAUUCCCCUCCGCAUAGGAGUCCAUACACCUCGACAUCCAUAAACUAUGAUUGACGUCCCACAUACCCCCAAGAUUCUUCGGGAUACACUCUUGUUCGAGAUGUUGCUGAAUGUCCCCGACGUCCGCAAAUUCAACUCUGUCACGGAUUUUUUCGUUCAAAAAUGUCGAGAUCACUUUGAAUGAAAUUUUGAACCAAAAAGGCGCGGAUAUUAUUAGGAUUUUCUUCAGUCUCGCCGGAUACGCGUCCUUUAAAAUAAACGUUGACUAAAUUGACUAAGGCUUUUGAAACCGUUGUAUUAUGUAGAUUUUCUGAAAAUAUCUGAAAUGAAUUUGGCCAGCAUCUAUAUUCGAUAUACCCACCUUUGGUGGCAAUAUAUAAUCUCAGUAUAUAAAAUCUCCAAACAAGGUGCACAGAUUGAAAUACAGCCUACGCUUCUUUUAACAAAAUUUCGGUAGCCUUAUAUAGGAAUAUGACUCAUUCAACGGUUCUCUUAAGCGUGGAAAAACUACUUCCAGAACAUAUAUAAGCUGAAAUUAGG